rnacentral:rRNA from 1 species
UUAAAGAGAGUUUGAUCCUGGCUCAGGACGAACGCUGGCGGCGUGCCUAAUACAUGCAAGUCGAACGAACGGAGGAAGAGCUUGCUCUUCCAAAGUUAGUGGCGGACGGGUGAGUAACACGUGGGCAACCUGCCUGUAAGUUGGGGAUAACUCCGGGAAACCGGGGCUAAUACCGAAUGAUAAAGUUUGGCGCAUGCCACGCUUUUGAAAGAUGGUUUCGGCUAUCGCUUACAGAUGGGCCCGCGGUGCAUUAGCUAGUUGGUAGGGUAAUGGCCUACCAAGGCAACGAUGCAUAGCCGACCUGAGAGGGUGAUCGGCCACACUGGGACUGAGACACGGCCCAGACUCCUACGGGAGGCAGCAGUAGGGAAUCUUCCGCAAUGGACGAAAGUCUGACGGAGCAACGCCGCGUGUAUGAAGAAGGUUUUCGGAUCGUAAAGUACUGUUGUUAGAGAAGAACAAGGAUAAGAGUAACUGCUUGUCCCUUGACGGUAUCUAACCAGAAAGCCACGGCUAACUACGUGCCAGCAGCCGCGGUAAUACGUAGGUGGCAAGCGUUGUCCGGAUUUAUUGGGCGUAAAGCGCGCGCAGGCGGUCUUUUAAGUCUGAUGUGAAAG